rnacentral:rRNA from 1 species
GUUUGAUCCUGGCUCAGAGCGAACGUUUGCGGCGGGCUUAACACAUGCAAGUCGAACGAGAAUCCCUUCGGGGAGGAAAGUGGCGCACGGGUGCGUAACACGUGGAUGACCUACCCCUUGGUUCGGGACAACAGCGGGAAACUGCUGCUAAUACCGGAUGUGUCGUAGCAAUACGAGAAAGGCCCGCAAGGGUCGCCAGAGGACGGGUCCGCGUCCCAUCAGCUAGUUGGUGAGGUAAUGGCUCACCAAGGCGAAGACGGGUAGCUGGUCUGAGAGGAUGAUCAGCCACACUGGAACUGAGACACGGUCCAGACUCCUACGGGAGGCAGCAGUGGGGAAUAUUGCGCAAUGGGCGAAAGCCUGACGCAGCCACGCCGCGUGAGCGAUGAAGGUCUUCGGAUCGUAAAAGCUCUGUGGGGGGAGAAGAAGAAAGUCGGUGAAGAGCCGGCCCUGACGGUAUCCCCUUAGCAAGCACCGGCUAACUCCGUGCCAGCAGCCGCGGUAAUACGGAGGGUGCAAACGUU